AGUGGACUCUGGCUUCUUCUAUUCCCUCAACUGCCAGUUUGUGGUUGACGUAUCAAUGCUGGGACCUUUGUUCUGAGGGUUCAGAGAUCACCAUGAAGUUGCAGAGUUUAAGGAAAAGUGAGAUAAUCAUGAAAAUAAACAACAAGUAAGGCUGGAGGUAAAUGGCACUGGCAGUUGUCUGAAAGACUUCAGGAUACCUUCUUUGAGAACAUGUCUACUUGAAAUGUACAUAUGGUAAUGGUGAUGGAGCAGCCUUUUUGCAAACAUGAGGCAACAAACAGAAGAAUAAAAUCUCUAGUAUAUUUGAACUGGAGAGAGAAAAGCACAUUUCCAGAUAUUAAGGGAACCCAAGACCCUUCCACCAGCCUGCCUGGCCAAAUGGAUAUCCCAAGGACAGUGUUCCAAGGGAGGUGGUGACAUCAGGGCCCUGGCUAAUGGGAAGCAGCCCGAGGCACAUGGGAGAGUGGGAGAACUGGAAAGACAUGGGUGUUGCUCAAGUUAAAUUGUUUGGGUAUCUGUGAAGGAACUUGGCAGGUUCCUUCUACUCCUCACAAUCCCUCUCUCAGUUUACUACAAAUGUGAAUUGUAAUCCAAACAAAAGCAGGGGAAUUAGGGAAAGAGUUUUCUUCUCUAACUGUUCUUGGUUUAUUUAAAGAUCUUUUGGGACAAAUGUGAUGAAAAUUUAAAAAGAAAAAAAUCAACCAGCAUCAGUAUUUGAAGACAAAUUCUUUCUGAAAAUAUAUAGGCUUGUACAUAAGUGUGAUUUGCUGAAACCUGUUUUCCAAUUUAGCCCAUUUGACUUGUUAAAAUUGAGCCCUGUUGAAGCAUCACAGACAUUUAGUUAUUUGAUAAACUAUUGCAUUUCUCUGAAGCAAAGCAAAGCAAAGCAAAACAAAAAACUAUAUACUCUUAGCUAUA